CCUACGGGAGGCAGCAGUGAGGAAUAUUGGUCAAUGGCCGUAAGGCUGAACCAGCCAAGUAGCGUGAGGGAAGACUGCCCUAUGGGUUGUAAACCUCUUUUAUGCGGGGAUAAAGGUGUCCACGUGUGGCUGUUUGCAGGUACCGCAUGAAUAAGGACCGGCUAAUUCCGUGCCAGCAGCCGCGGUAAUACGGGGGGUCCGGGCGUUAUCCGGAUUUAUGGUGUUUAAGGGAGCGUAGGCCGGUCGUUAAGCGUGCCGUGAAAUUUUAGGGCUCAACCAUGGGAGUGCGGCGCGAACUGGAGACCUUGAGUGCGCGGAAGGCAGGCAGAAUUCGUGGUGUAGCGGUGAAAUGCUUAGAUAUCACGAAGAACCCCGAUUGCGAAGGCAGCCUGCCGCAGCGUUACUGACGCUGAAGCUCGAAAGCGCGGGUAUCGAACAGGAUUAGAUACCCUUGUAGUC
rnacentral:rRNA from 1 species